GCCAGUGUGAUGUAGUGGUUUAAGCAUUGGACUAUGACUCUGGAGACCAGGGUUUGAAUCCCUACUCAGCCA
rnacentral:tRNA from 1 species